rnacentral:lncRNA from 1 species
ACCUGUCUCUUUACUGGUUUAUCUUCUGAUUUAGGAGGCUUAAUUUUCCAUGGCUCCUAGAGCCAGGCUGAUUGCAUUAGGGGCUGGAGCCCCUGGCAUGAUCUGUCUGAGUCUGCAGGGUCCCUUUCCCCAAUCAAGCAUGUGACAUUCCUUUAGCCUUAGUUUGGAUGGGGAUGUGAGAAAGGAUGGGGAGAAAAGGACCUGAGAUCUCUGCUGGAGGCUAAUGGGAUUGCAGGUCCUGUACCCUGUGGGAAUGGGAAUUGACCCUACUCAGAUCUGCUUCACUGAAAAGUCUAUGCCAAGCUGUAAUAUGGAAGCAGUAGAGAUACUCCUCAGCUCACCUCCGGG